UCAGACAAUAUGUGUAAAGCUCUUUAAAAGUUACUGACACAUAACAAAUUCUUUAAUAUGUGAACUGAAUAUUUGUUUCCAGAAUACUAGCCAUAGGGACACCUAAGGGACAAUGUGAUUUAACACUAAAGGCUCUGAAGGACCUGCUAAAUGAGAAGAUAAAACUUGCAGCAGUGCAACACUGAAAUAAAGUACAUCAACGGCAAGGCAGGGGCAACAGAAUCAUCUGCUACAUCUUGGUUUCUCAUUAGACUCCCAAUUCUGAUGGGAAUUUCCAAUAUUGACACGCUAAAAAGGAUCAUGUAGCUGAAGGCACUUUGGAAUAAUACAAACCUUAAUUCAAACCAUGGUCUGUCGUUUACUGGAUAUUUG